UUAAAAGGAAAGAGAAAGAAAGAGUCGCAUAUGUAUUUUUUAGAUUUGCUCUAUUUCUCUCUAGAAAAUUUUUUAGCUUCUCUUGAUAAAUCUUGAAUUCUUUAUCACCUAAACUCCCAAAUCUGCUAAUACCCCAAUGUUUGAGUCACAUCUUACAAAAUCAAAAAUCCUAAUUACAAAUAGUAAUUCGAUAGGUAUGUGGUCAAAUUUCUUUGUGGGUAUAUAUAUUUUUUAGAUUUCACCUGUAAUUUAGGAAGUCGAAGGAGGAACAGAGAGAGUUGAUAGUUUGAAAAUCAACAUGGGGUAAGCCAUUUGAAGUUGUGAAGGUUUGAACUUGUUCAAAGCUUUGAAGGUAUAAUUAAUGUUUUACCCUAAUUUUAUUUUUGAUAUUUUUUUGAUUCUUGGUCUUGACAGUCGUCUGUGAGAUAUGUCGAUCUAUGGUUAAGCUGAAAGUUCAUUUAUGAAAUUCUAGAAUUUUGGAUUCAUUUAUGAAAUUCUAGACUUUUGGAUGUUGUUUUGUGUUCUGUUGCUACCAAAAAAAAAAGUAAAGUUAGUUCAUUUAGUGAAGACAAAAAUGUGCUAAUUGAUGCUCUUAUUGGUAUUCAAGGUUGUGGUUGUGCUGCUUCCCCCCAACAACUUUAAGUUAGUUCAUAAUUUUAUCCCCAGCUACUUAUUCUGUCUAACAUUUGUUGUUGUUGUGUGUUGUUAUGGUUGGUGUUGUGGAUGGAAUGGAUUAGGGUAAUAGAUUAAUCAGUAGGUGGUAGUGCUUUGUGUGGCUAUCCGCCGGUAGUCGGUUAGUCGUAGUAUUGCUCUUGUAGUUUCUUGUCCUUCCAUUUUUUGUUAUAUUAUUUAUUGUCUUAUACUUCCACGAUCCUAGUAUUUUUCUUUGUUAUGUUUUCACUUCAGUUACUUCCUUUUUUGGAUUACUUUGGUUUGUUUUUCUUGAGGUAGCGGUAAGGUUUACAUACAUCCUACCCUCCCCAGACUCCAUUCUGUGGGACUACAUAGGAUAUGUUGUUGUAGUUAUAGGUGAUAUUUAGUAGGUGAAAGUAAGUUUUAGACUAGAUAGAGAACUUAUACGAUUGUUAUUACUACUUUUUAUAUAUAAUUUAUUUUUCACUUUUUUUUUAUUUGGUAUGAUAAUGAUUGAGUUGAGCAUAAAUGAAGUCGGGGCUUUCAUAUACCUAACUGUAACAUGUUUGAGAUUGAGGCGUAGUAGUAGUUGUUAGAUUUAUUUUUAUAGUGAGGCUUAACAUGAGUUAAGCUUAAACUGAAAAGUGGAGAAUCAUAUCGCUGACUCAACUUAUUUCGGAUUGCACUGUAGUUGUUGGUUGUUAUAUUUACUAUUAUAAUGAGGUGUAGCACAAGUUGAGCUUAAAUAGGGAAAUAGGAUUCAUAUAGCGGACCCAACUUGUUUGGAACUGUUAUAGUGACUUAUGAACUUCGUUCUAAGAUUGACAUCUUUUAGGGGUCAUCUUGUGCAUCGUAUAAUAUUAGAGGCGGAUCAAGGAUAAGGCUAGAUCUGCCUCUGUAUAAUCUGGUGGUAGAUCAUUUUUUAGGUUCAAAGAGCCCGUAAGUUACUAAUUAGUAUUAAGUAAUCUAUAGAAAACAUAAGGCUAUGAAGGAGGUUGAACAUGCUGUUAAAGUUCUUGAAGGAUCAGAAGGUGUUUCUGAACCAGUGAGUACCGUCUUAAGUGCUUUUGCUUUCAUUACAUUCCCUUUCUACCAAUUUCUUAGUGUCAAUUAUUAUAAAUGUGGUUGCGUACAAAGGAGAAAAAGUUACUAAGGACGGUAAGUUAUGAUGUUGCAAUGUGGUUGCAUAUAUAGAUGAGCUCGAGUUUAAUCGAGGGUCGGUGGCAGCUGAUGUUCACGACUAGGUCAGGAUCAGUAUCUCCUAUUCAGGUUAUAUGCUAGUAUAUUUUUUGCUUGCUGUGCUUUCAGCUGUCGGCAUUUUCUGGUGCGUAGAUUGGCUAAAGAGCUGAAGUGAAGAAAUGAUGAUCAAUAUUAAUUUUGUAAACAUACUAAAAGUCGAUAGUGUAUUGUGGAUUCUGACCUUUCGGCCAAUCAUAAAUCACUAACCUGAUGAUUUGUGAAGGGAUGUAGAUUUCGAUGUAUCUCUUUUUCUUGGAAAUUGUUGAGGCGUGUCAUCGGUUAGCUGUGAGAAACCUUUCAGUUUAUCUCAGUGGUUCUCCGAAAGUAUCCCAGUAGAAAUAAAUUAAAUUUUAUUCGUUAACCUUGAGCAUUUAUCAUAACAUUAGCAAACAUCUUCUCUUCCUCGGGGCCAAAAAGUAGUCAUGAAAACGUGAGGUUCGCUAACUAAUCACUUUCGCAAUGUGAGACUAAUGUUAAGAACCACUUUUCCGAGAACAUUUAUUGGGGUUGACUCAUUCAGCGUAUUUCAAGAAGUGUUCCUUAGAACAAACGACCCACGUGUAUCCAACAUUGUAAAGUUUUCUGAGGCAAUAGGUGAGCUAAAAAUAGAGGUAUGUAUCGUUUAUCCUGCUAACUAUUCUAAAGUUUUCGAAAGUGGAUAUUCAUCUACCCGAACCCCACUUUUUUAGAUCGGGGCGUAGUAGUAUUAGUUGUUUUACACGUCUGUAGGGUAGGGAAUGGUAAUUUAGUUCUUUGAUAUCUUACUGAAUGCUCGUCUUAUGUUCCUCAGGAACUCGCAACAAUCAAAGAUGGAAAAUAAAUUCUUUUUCAAUUUGAUAGAGCAGUUUUUUCAUUCAAAUUUCCACCGUUCAAUGUUCCGUACCCUUUACCUUUUAGACUUCUGGGAGAAGAAGCUAAGGGCUGGUUAGACACUACAUAUUUGUUUCCAUCCGGGAAUCUCCGUAUUUCAAGAGAAAACAAGGUAGGAGAACGUUAUUAGCUUGUUGUUCUGUCACUUUUUUGCCUUUCCUCACUAUAAUAUGUUAUACACAAUGCAUAAAACCUAUGUUGUUUGUCUCUUUAUAAGUACCACUGGGUGUGUGCCGGCUCCUCCAAAAGUCAUCAUUUUUGGAGGGUCGGAGAAACAUAGCAUAAAACUAGUAAACUGUAUCUCAAAUCUUCUCUUUAACGGGUAAUCAGCUAAACCUUUAAGGGCCACAAGCUGUACUGCUAUAGUACAGGGAACUACAUUUGUGUUGCAAAGGAAAACUGAACCAAGGCAAAAGUUGCUUUUGUCCAUUUCAAUGGGUACAAGGGUAGAAGAGGCAAUUGACGAGUUUAUUUCCUUAAACAAAAAUAUAGCGAAUUCUGAACUGAAACUUCUCGAGGGAGAGUGGCAAAUGAUAUGGAGUUCACAGGUUGAAACAAAUAGUCGGUUAGAGAAUGCUGACAAUGGUCUGAUGGGCAUGCAUGUGCAUAGGCCUCUUCAUUCUGCUUCUUUAUUUUCUCUAUCGACUUUGAUAUUUUUGAUCGCUUACUAUUCUUUUACAUUCUGAAUUUGUGUUUUUCUUUCUAGAUUGUCAAACCAAGCGGACAGUUAAAGUUUCUGGUCAGCAUAUUAUUCGGUUUUAGGUUCUGCAUGACUGGCAAAUAUGAGUAAGUAUCAUUCCAGCCAAAGCAAUCCUGUAGAAAUAUCGUAGGAAUUGUGUUCUUCAUAUUCAACUAUCGAUGUACUUUUCAUUGUUAAUUAAGAUUUUUUGAGAACUUCAUUGAGGAGAUCUAUGCAUUUUAGAAAACAAAACAAGUGAAUCUCUGCGAGCUGCUUUCGCCUCGGUAAUUACCUAAUAAGAGAGAGUCGAUGCAAAAGUAAUAUUUUACACCAGGAAAAGCUAGACAUACUGACCUCUGCUAACUAAAUUUUAUAUAGACUUGAGGCUAGAGAUCUACUAAGGUAUAGUGAGUGAACAAAUGGCUGCCAACUUGAAAAGAGAUAUGGAUUAGGAUUUACAAAAUAAAUUGGAAGAGGAACGAGAACACAUGAAAGGAGAAGUAGAAAAAAUAUUUUAAGAAAAAAUGGUUUCUCUCAUGGCUGGAAUGCAAGAGGUAUUUUCUUGACUAGAAUUUAGUUUUUAGAUUGUAACGACUUCAACUGUUGACCAUGACCUCCAUGACCCCAUGAAAGCACUUCUCUUUUAUUUGAGAGUAAAGGAUACUUUUAAUGAAGCUAAAUCUUAUAAGUGGGCAAGUUGAUUGAUUGGUUUACAGAGUACUAUAAGUUUGUAUCUAGAAUAAAAAGUAGCUCCAUAUUAUUUAUUUGUCUUUUGAUAUGUGAUAUUGCUUGGAAGGGUAAGAAUUGAUUAUGUUGUUGUUAUUGUUAUUUGUACUCCUUUAUAUUGAUAGGAAAGACGAAAGGCGAAGGACAAGUUGAAAGAGCUAAUUUCCAACGUAUUGGUUGGUGGAGCUAAUUUCAUAUAUUCACCAUAAAACUAAGAAUUCACCAUAAAACUAAGAACACCUUAGUUCUAAACUAGCUGCAGCAGUUAUCUUAUUGUUGUCAUUGUCAUUUGAGUCCAUUAUAUUAUGAUGUUAGCUAAGUCAGCAUUUUUUGAAAAGACACAGCAAAACCACCUCAUGUUACAUUAUUGCAUUUCAUUAUCUGUGUGUAUUAGCACCCUUUGUUUGCUGUAAUUAUUUUUAAUCUUGUCCAAUCUUCUAUGAUCUCAUCCAUAUUAUUUUUAAUCUAGAGUAUCAUUAUUUUAUUUUGUGAAAAAUUCAAUCUCUUAUAAGAAAUUGAUAUUUGCUUUUUUAUUUAUAGAUUAGGCAAAAGCCUCUUAGUUUGAAGCCUUUUAGUAAAUAAAGUGAUUUGGUGUUUUUUUAAUGGGAGGGACGUUCUUAAACAAUGAGUUGACCAAGGAGGAGCAUGAAGGCGUAGAAUGCAUUUUUUUUAUUUUUGAUCAUAUGUAUGAAUAUGAUAAAACUGAAGCACUAUGUUGUUCUUAACAUAUAUGCCGUUGACUUUUUAUUAAGGAAUGUACCUAUAAUAUUUGAUCGGAGGAUGAUUUUGUAAAACGUUAUUGGAUUAUUUUAUUAGCUAAUAUUAUUUGUUGUCAAUUUUGUAAAACACUAUUGAUAUUGAUUUUAUGGUGAGAAAGGUCAUUACUAAUGCAGAAGUUUUAGUGGCAACAAACAAGUGGUCACAAUUGAUGCUCAGAAGUUUUAGUGGCAACAAACACUGUGGUCACAAUUGAUGUGCAGAAGUUUUAUUGGCGACAAACAGAUGGUCACAAUUGAUGUGCGGAAGUUUUAGUGGCGACAAACAAGUGGUCACAAUAGAUGUACAGAAGUUUUAGUAACGACAAACAAGUGGUCACAAUUGAUGGUGAUUUUUUGGCGACAAAGUUGUUGCUAAUUCCUGUAUAUCAGUGGCGACCUAGCCCCAAUAUGUUUUGUCAAAAUACAUUUUGCAACGUAAUUGUCUCUCUUUUGUGGCGGUAAUAGUCAUCACAAAUAAAUUCUUAUUGUGGCGAGGAUACUUUGUCGCCAUAAAUAACCUUUAA